AAAAAACCCAUCCCCCAACAAUCUCUCUUUGCAACACACCAACCCAUCUCCGUCAAAUGCGCCGCCACGAACCAAGCCGGGCCAUAAACCGAAACCCAACCUCAAUCCUGAAAUCGUGUCUUCAACUUUGCUGCCGGACCCGACGCCCUCCCUGAAAACGUCCUCCAUAAGACCCAAUCGGAGCUCUACAACUGGCGUGGAUCUGGUAUGAGCGUGAUGGAAAUGAGUCAUAGAGGUAAAGAAUUUCUUUCCAUUAUUCAAAAAGUAGAGUCAGAUCUGCGUACCCUUUUGGAUAUCUCCUUGAAAUAUUCCGUUCUUUUCCUCUAAGACGACGCCACCACUCAGUUCGCUGAUGAAACACUAAAACACCAAUGCCUCAGUACUACCGUGACUCCUGCGAUACCUAUUUGACUCACGAUUCUCCAUCUGUUAGAAAGCAGCAUAACUCUGGUUAUAAACACAAGGCUGAUGUUUUCUAGGUACAUUGCUACGAUCUUUGAAUUUCCAACUAGCUCGUGAAACUUUAAUUGGUUAUUCUAUAUAGGUCAGUAACUCAAAUUUUAGUAUAUCUGGUUCAUACUUUAGUUUUUAUGUGUGUUUUGGGUUAGCUUUUGAUUAAAAUAUCUAUGUGUGUUUGUGAGCUAUAAAGCCACUAUUAAUGUUUGUGUCUUGUAGGAGAUAUUCUUAUCAAUGUUUGUGUCUUGUCGUGUACUUCUACUUCUAUAACUACUGACUUCUAUUAUGAAUAUUCUUGUGUUGUUUGACAUACUAUGAAAAUUGUACAGGGUCAGAUCUGAAUUUGGAUGGAAACAUUGGAAGUUUGAGACAUCAAUUAUUCUACUUCCUAAUGUGUUGAUUAUUUUCUUACAGCAAUAUUUCGUACUUGUUGAUGGUAUAUUAGAACAUAGAAAUGAAUCCCUUAAUGUGUUGAUUGUUUUCUUGGCUUAUCAACCAAGUUUGAUUAUUCUCUGUUACGAUUAUUUAGCACCCAUGGCUUUGCCUCUCAUCAUGUGUCAAUUGGAUUUUUAAAGAAUAUCGUCCACCCUACAUAUUUUCUGUAACCUUGAAUACUCGAUAAUUCAGUGCAGUUGGGGUUCUGAUAUGCGGUUGGGGUUAGCUCGAAAUGUGUCGGUUGACUCAAAUAUAUCAAAUACUAAUGGGAAGAGUACUUAGUAUAUGAUGGAAGCCACAUAGAUUCUGUAAGUUUUCACUUGACAGGAAUUGACAAUUAUGUAAAUUUAGAUUCAUGUUACACAUGUAAAUGAGCUAUUUAUUAAACAUUUAACUAUUAAGUAUCAUUGAAUAUGACUUUUUAUCGGUUGUUUUUAGUCAACUUAUCAAAUCUUGCACCACCUGCCCCCGAACUAUCCAUCAAAGGUUUACCUUAUGCGGCAGAAAAUUUUGCAAAUCCCGAUGACAUUUGGAAGUGGAAAGCAGCCAAGAAGAUUUGAUCUAACGCUAACUUUCGGGAACAAUAUCUAUAUCUUCCACGGUGUGUUGCUGGCGGUGGAUUUAAAAGCAAUGCAAUAUCUAAUUCUUCUCUGACGCUAAUAUUGUUGAUUUAUUGGCUUCUUACCAUAAUUAAUAUAACUUUGUUUGCUUGGUAACUGUUUGAAAGAAUGUCAUUAACAUUGUUGAGUAUUAUCUUACAAAUUUAAAAUGCUGUUUGUGAUCUCGUCUUUAUAAAUUAUUAAGUUAUUUUAGGCGUUCUUAUUGCUUUGAAUUUCUCACUGUCAGUGGAUUAUUUUUGGAUAGGUUGUAUUCGGUGGCUUUUAGCAGGUUGGAAGGAACUUUAUUUUUAGGAGGUUGGGUUGAAACAUGAUGAUUUAGUAUUUUAGUUAUUAAUCAAUGGUUUUAUAUGGAUUUGUAUUAUUAUUUUUUCUGCAAUUUUAUGGUUUCAAUUUUCUUUAGCAUAAAGUGAUUGGUUAGCAAACAAGACUUCCCUGAAUUUGUAUUAUUAAUUUUAGCAUGUUGGGUGAAACAUGAUGAUUUCAUGGUAACUGCCAUUGGUUGCAAACAAAACUUAUGUGUUGUAAUUUCAUUGUAACUGCUACGGUGAUUAUGAAACUGCCUAUAAUUGAGUUGAUGAUAUAGUUUCACAUACUACCCAUUGGAUUGAGCUAAACUAUGUAGAAUGCUUAGAAUUACGAGAUGAUAGUGACUUUAUGGCUGACAGUUUCAAAAUACAUUAAGUUGUUUCAUUCUUGUAUUAAUUUAGAUUAAGUUGUUUCAAAAUAUCUAUUUCAUUCUUGUUUUUUGUUUUAUAGCUUUCAUUAUGUGCCUUAUUUAAUAUUAAAAUUGUUUAUAUUCUAGGAGUUUUAUAUUAGAAAUAAGGAUGGCACCCCGAUUAGUUCAGAACUGAGGCGUCAAAGAGUGAUUCAAUAAGUUAACAGAUGAAAGUGUUCUGAAGUAUAUUGAACAGUCAUUUGGUUGCAUUCACAAUGGAUGUUGUUUGGUCUGCGGAAGUUGUGCUGCAAUUUGGCAUACUUGUGAGCAGCUUGGAUUGGUGUAUGUUCAACUAGAAAUAAAGCUGACUGACAUGAUGUUCAUUUGAAUCCGCAAUUUUGUUUGAGGUUGAUGCUACCAUUUUGCAUUCUUUCUCAACAUGCUAGCUGUCACCCUUAGAAUUUCCACAUGAUAUUAUUGAUGCCGUUUAUAAAGACAUUAGUUAUUAUUCUUCAGUUUUUAAUCAGCACCUGUAUUUUGUUGGUCUAACUCAAUUGAUAUAACCAAUGUAAUUGCUUGGGUUUAUGAAGUUCGGUCUUAAAUUUA